UACGUAGGUGGCAAGCGUUAUCCGGAUUUACUGGGUGUAGAGGGCGUGUAGGCGGGACUGCAAGUCAGAUGUGAAAAUUAUGGGCUCAACCCAUAACCUGCAUUUGAAACUGUAGUUCUUGAGUGAUGGAGAGGCAGGCGGAAUUCCGUGUGUAGCGGUGAAAUGCGUAGAUAUACGGAGGAACACCAGUGGCGAAGGCGGCCUGCUGGACAUUAACUGACGCUGAGGCGCGAAAGCGUGGGGAGCAAACAGG
rnacentral:rRNA from 1 species